UAAAGAAGGAGGGGAUCUACUUGGGAAGAAAGAAGAAAGGAGGAGGGCCAAAGUAAAAAAAGACAGAUCAGGGAGUGGAUCAAAAUCCCUAGCGCUGCUCCAUUCCCAAAUCGGGCCUGGCAUCUCCAUCUCUCCCCCCCUCACCACUUCUUCCACCACUGGCCGUCGUCGCGGCCAGGCCGGCGUGGCGGCGCGCCACCAGCUCCACUGUCCAUCUGUGCCAUCCACCACUCCAUCUCCACCACCGCGCCAUCACUCCACCGCCGCACCUCGCGCGCCCGACCAGACGGGCGCCUGGUCCUCCGCGUGAACGCCCCCAUGCUGCUGCUCUUUCUUUCUUCCUCCCCUGCUGCUUUCUGCUGCUCCUUCUUCACCUAUCUCGCUGCUGCUCCUCCACCUCUCUUCUUCCCUCGCCUCUAGCUGCUGCUCCUAUUCUUCUCUGAAUCCCCCGCUGCUGCUUCUUCUUUCUCUAACCCCCUCUUGCUGAAGCCCUCUCCUCACACCCACUGCUGCUUCUUCGCCUUGGUCCUACUGCUGCUCCUCUCUCCCUGAUUCCCCUACUUCUUCUCUGAAUCCCCUACUUCUGCUGCUCGUCUCCAACUGAACCUGCUGUCUCUGUCUCUGUCUCUCUCUCUCUCUCUCUCUCUCUCUCUCUCUCUCUCUCUGAAAUUUCUAUAACUUAAGUGUACUCUUAAGAAUUGUGUAAUGUUCCGAUUUUUAAAUGCUUGAAAUCUGUGAACGAUUCAGUUUCAUACUUAUAAAUAUUGUAUCACAUAUUUUGCGUUCUCACUAGUUGAAGUGUUCUUGUUGUGUAUUUGUGGUCAGUCAGUCGCCAUAUAUGUUAUCUAACCUUGUGAAUUUAAUCUAGUUUGAAGUUUAUGUGUUUACUCAAGUACUUGUGUUACAAAAAUAUGUGUGUGAGUUUGUGUUGUGAAACAUUUAUAUUCAGCCAUAUAACCGUGAUUCUUCCCUCUGUUCAUGUUUGAUAGUUAUAUAUGUGUCCUUGUCAUGUUACGUUCAUGUCCUUUCACUUCUCUUGUCAUUGAUGUAUGCUCGUAUUAGUAUUUUAACUUCUCAAGCAUUACGAAAAUACCAAAAAGACAAUGAGUAAAAUCUGAAUUUCCCCUUGCUGUUUAUGCUUUCUUUGUCGUCAACCCUGGCUAGUUUAGGUUAUUAUUUUCUUGCAAUACUCUCUUAAAAUUCUGUCGCCUAGCUUUAGCUGAGCAUUGUUGCCGUCGCCUAGUCUCUGUGGAGAACACAACAUUCGUAGUUUUGGGCGUAAAAACCCCACUAUACUUAAAAUCGAUCAUUUUGGCGCCGUUGCCGGGGACUAGCGUCGAGCGAUUAUGUUAGCUAUAGACUAGGUUUAUUUUAGUUCUGUGUUUAAUUAGUCGUGUAUUUCAUUUUCUGUGUUUCUUUUAUAUAUUUUUUCCCUUGCUGUUGCUUUGGCUUAUUAGGAUACUAACGUUCUGACUAGUAUUUACUAUUUAUGAGUGUGCGUAGGAAGUCUGAACUAUUUACAGGUUGAUUGAUGGUUACACUUGGUGGAGAUAUGGCGAUUCUUCGUGAUGUUUGGAUGCCAAGCAGCCAAUGCUAUUUCACAGGGCCACUUUGGCCGUCUUUUGAGGCGGAAAAUUUUGAGCUAAAGCCUGGUCUUAUUGCUUUGGUUCAACAACAUCAGUUUGGAGGGUUGCCUACUGAAGACCCUUAUGAGCACUUGCUCCGAGUCAUGGAGUAUUCAGAGACAGUAAAGUACCUUGGAGUACCUGAAGAUGCUAUCAAGUGCAUGCUGUUCACAUUCUCUCUCCGAGAUGAUGCUCGUGCUUGGUAUCGAUCCUUGCCAUCAAGAUCAUUCGGUUGGAACGAGGUAUCACGAGCUUUCUUAGAUAAAUAUUUCCCACUACACAAGCAGUCCGCAAUUCGAGAUGAGAUCUUCAAUUUCGUUCAGCGUGAAGGCGAGAGCUUGUAUGAUGCUUGGGAGAGAUACAAAGCCUUAUUCAGGAGAUGUCCUAAUCAUGGGCUCGAGAGAUGGUUAGAGCUGCAGAUAUUCUAUAGAGGAUUGACUUCGGACACUCGAGCUUACGUCGAUAUGGCAGCGGGUGGAGCUAUUACAAACAAGACACUUGAUGAAGCUUUUCUGUUGAUUGAGAGCAUAGCUUUCCACCAACUUCAGUGGUACAAUAAGAAGCCCACGUCCGAUUCAUUGGUUUGCUUGCAACAAAUCACUACACCUCAGCCACCAAUUCUUACAUAGAAGCAUGAACCUCUAUCUCAGUAUGACAAGAUCGAGCUUGCAUGGAUUAUCUUUGAUGAUGAUGACACCAUUCUAGUUGACACACACGCUACAGAUCAUAUGGAUACUAGCGUUGGAGAUUCGGUUUUGCAUUGUGAUGAUUCUUCCAUGGAUGAGCCAGAGCUGCAGUUAGUUGCUUUUGAUAUUGAGGAGUCACAUGUAGUUGAUAUUGAUCAUGUGCUUCUAGAGCCAGAUAUGGAGAAGUUCACCUUCGAUGAUGUUAGCUGCAUUGAUUCCUCAACACUUGAGCCUGAGAUGGAGAGCUUCAUGGUUAAUUAUGAUGAGGUGGAUUCAGAUGUUAAGGAGCCAAGCUCUACUAUUUCACUUGUUGACACGAGUCCGGUGGAAAUUUCUACUACCACACCUCACUUGGUAUCUUCAAUUGAGGUAGUCCUGAAGCUUCUUCCUAACUAUCUCAGGUAUGAUCUCAGCUUUCUCGACAAGAUAUGCCAUAUCAUGGAUACUGCUAUGCACCAUGCGAUUUAUUGAUGAUAUCUAUUUAUCAUAUGCUCCAUAGAUAUGCUUAUGUGAUAGGAUACUCUAUUGAUGAAUUAGAGGGCAUUGUCCCUAUCACUUGUAUUGGCUUGUUUGCCGAGUGUUCUUUCAGGUUUAUGCUUGUGCACCAUUCACUGCGGGCUGCCCAAGUUCGAGAUGACAUCCCAUGGGAUCCUGGUGGAUUCAUGGCAUGGUGAUGAGGAGAAGCAAUGAGCACACAUGAGGAAGAGCGAAGCUGGAGCAUCCAUGAGGAAGCAAAGGAGAAGAGCUGCAGUUGGUUAGGUGAUCGAGCGAGUGCUACAUGAUCAAAGCUCGAAAAGGGCGAAAAGGCCCAAAAUCUUUCUAUAAUGGAGAGUGUCAAGAAGUUGUGGUUACUGUAAUUUACGGAGGGACUCAAGCGUGAAGAAAAAGAAGUAAUCAGAUGGGCCAAAACUAAAGAAGGAGGGGAUCUACUUGGGAAGAAAGAAGAAAGGAGGAGGGCCAAAGUAAAAAAAGAGAGAUCAGGGAGGGGAGGGGAUCAAAAUCCCUAGCGCUGCUCCAUUCCCAAAUCGGGCCUGGCAUCUCCAUCUCUCCCCCCCUCACCACUUCUUCCACCACCGGCCGCCGCCGCGGCCAGGCCGGCGUGGCGGCGCGCCACCAGCUCCACUGUCCAUCUGUGCCAUCCACCACUCCAUCUCCACCACCGCGCCAUCACUCCACCGCCGCACCUCGCGCCCCGACCAGACGGGCGCCUGGUCCUCCGCGUGAACGCCCCCAUGCUGCUGCUCUUUCUUUCUUCCUCCCCUGCUGCUUUUUGCUGCUCCUUCUUCACCUAUCUCGCUGCUGCUCCUCCACCUCUCUUCUUCCCUCGCCUCUAGCUGCUGCUCCUAUUCUUCUCUGAAUCCCCCGCUGCUGCUUCUUCUUUCUCUAACCCCCUCUUGCUGAAGCCCUCUCCUCACACCCGCUGCUGCUUCUUCGCCUUUGUCCUACUGCUGCUCCUCUCUCCCUGAUUCCCCUACUUCUUCUUUGAAUCCCCUACUGCCGCUGCUCGUCUCCAACUGAACCUGCUCUCUCUCUCUCUCUCUCUCUCUCUCUCUCUGAAAUUUCUAUAACUUAAGUGUACUGUUCAGAAUUGUGUAAUGUUCCGAUUUUAUAAAUGCUUGCAAUCUGUGAGCGAUUCAGUUUCAUACUUAUAAAUAUUGUAUCACAUAUUGUGCGUUCUCACUAGUUGAAGUGUUCUUGUUGUGUAUUUGUGGUCAGGCAGUCGCCAUACAUGUUAUCUAACCUUGUGAAUUUGUUCUAGUUUGAAGUUUAUGUGUUUACUCAAGUACUUGUGUUACAAAAAUAUGUGUGUGAGUUUGUGUUGUGAAACAUUUAUAUUCAGCCAUAUAACCAUGAUUCUUCCCUCUGUUUA